rnacentral:rRNA from 1 species
CGGUAAAACGCGCUGGAGGACCGAACCCACGUAAGUUGAAAAUUGCGGGGAUGAGUUGUGGGUAGCGGUGAAAUUCCAAACGAACUUGGAGAUAGCUGGUUCUCUCCGAAAUAGCUUUAGGGCUAGCCUCGCAAAGAGGAUGCUGGAGGUAGAGCUCUGUUUGGACUAGGGGCCCGUCAAGGGUUACUGAAUUCAGAUAAACUGCGAAUUCCAGACAUUUAUGUGCGGGAGUCAGACUGCGAGUGAUAAGAUCCGUAGUCGAAAGGGAAACAGCCCAGAUCACCAGUUAAGGUCCCAAAAUUCAUGCUAAGUGGAAAAGGAUGUGGAGUUGCGCAGACAACUAGGACGUUGGCUCAGAAGCAGCCAUCAUUCAAAGAGUGCGUAAUAGCUCACUAGUCGAGUGACGCCGCGCCGAAAAUUUACCGGGGCUAAGCAUGAUACCGAAACUGUGGAUGUGCAUUUAUGCACGUGGUAGGAGAGCGUUCUAGCGGCGGUGAAGCAUGACCGAGAGGACAUGUGGAGCUUCUAGAAGUGAGAAUGCCGGUAUGAGUAACGAAAGACAGGUGAGAAUCCUGUCCGCCGCAAGACUAAGGUUUCCUGGGGCAGGCUCGUCCGCCCAGGGUAAGUCGGGACCUAAGGCGAGGCCGAGAGGCGUAGUCGAUGGACAACAGGUUGAAAUUC